ensembl:lncRNA
AAAUGAAAAUUUAAUGUAUAAAAUAAAAGCUAAUUCAAAAUAUUAAUCAAAACUAUAAUAGCAGCCUGUAUGAAUAAAUAAAUGUUCAAAAUGUCUUGUUUUGUGUUCCACAGAAAAAAAAAAGAAAAGAAAAAAAAUCAUACGGUUUAGAACAAUAUGAGGUUAGUAAAGGUGAACUAUUCCUUUAAUACCUUUAAUAUUGUUUCUAUGAACUAUGAAAAUCCUGCUAUCAAGACAAACACUCAGUAUCCUGUGGAUGGCAGAAUGGGAAAUGUUCUGGACAGACUUUGUCACCAUAAUUGAACCAUUAAUCGGGGGCUGAAGAUAAGGCCUCUAAUCAGAAGCACAUUAGCUAGUACUUCCUGCUGUCAUGUGGCCUCAUGGAUGAAGUCCUGCCCAUCAUCCAAGGGUCAUCAGGGGCCGCGACCCCUAGCUGUGAUCCCUCAGGCCCUGGAUAAUGGCUCCACUGCAGGAUGGUCAGACGUCGGGAAGUGUCCCAGUGAUUUCCUAAAAAAGAUAUCAUCACUUCAUCCUGCGGAGGAAAGAGCUGAGAGGCCCAUCCUCAGAACACUUCCCAAGAGCCUGACUUGACUAAGUGGCGGGAACAUUAGCAUUUUCAGCCGGGCCACUGGGAUAUGCUUGGAAGAGCACUGUAGGAGAGGUGCAGAGCGAAGAAAAAUAAGCCACGGCACUACCAAUAAGUCACCCUUGAAAAGAACCAGAUGUGUGCGCAAAGAUCUCUGAAAAUAUUAGCUUUGGAGGUAGAACUUCUCAGAACGCUGUUCUUCUCCCAGCCCCUGCA